GACUUCAGUCAGCACAGUGUCUGGAGACCUUGUUGAUAUAAGACACAAUAUGGAAGUGAAGCCAUUAAAUCAAGCAGGGUCUGCAACUGUCAUACUGCUAUUUGAAAUGUUAUUGAGACCAGUGAGGAGGAGGACAGAAUACUCCAGGAGUUUUGAAAUACAAUCAGAAUGAAAAAAUAUUGGAAAGAAAUCUGCUUCACAGCUGUAGGACUCUGCACUUGCCUUCAUUGAACCUCAUCUGGAUCCUCUCUGCUGAGCUCUCCAGCCUGUCCAGGUCUUGCUGAAUGGCAGCACAGCCUUCUGACAUCUGGAUGGGGUGCCACUUGAUGACAGGAGACACAACCAGAGAACUUACUCCAGCACGGUGACUAAAAUGGAAGGAGAUUCUACUGCAAUAUUCACUGGAAUGGCAGCACUGAAGAAAUCACUCCUGGAAAAAACAAGAAUUAUUACAUUACUCUCAGACAUCCUAGAAGGACUAAAGAUAUCAGUGAAACUAUCAGCACAGGUUAGGGAACAAAUACGGAAAGGCAGGAAAAGAGGGCUUUUAAUCAGGAAGAAAAUGCAUGUAGUAUUCUCCAAACUUAAAUCAGAAGUUUUGUACGUGAUGCAGGAUUUAGGUUCAGAUGAGCCUUUCCAAGUUAAUGGAGAUGCACAAAACUGAGUAAAAUAUGGAAAUAAAUCCUUGUAAAAGUCACCUCUAUGAAGCAAAUUAGAACUAUGCAACAGAUUUGUUACUUUCAACCUCCCAUAUAAAAACAAGAAGUCUUGUGCUUGACAUCCCCAACAUGUACCAUCAUGUCUCUGAUUGUACUAGUAAAGUCAGAUGAGUUCCAUCUUCAAUAAAUUGAUGGGAGGAUUGUAUUAUGAUAAAGCAGUUCAAAACUACCACAGAAAUAUUACGCCAAGCUGGAAAGAGAAUAUUGAAUAUUCUCACUGAAUAUUCAGUACCUUAUAUGCUAGCAGGACAGUUCAGGAACAGAGCAUUUAAUCUAUAGACUUAUUUCCCUUUUAAGGAAACCCCAAAAGAUCUAACAGUUAGCACGUAAACAAGAUUAUAAGCAAUGCAUUUGCUGGAGUUGGUUUGCACUUGUUGAAGAAAGCAGGGACACCCCUUAUAACUAAAUAACAAAGGUUUUGCUGGACAGAGAUGAAGUAAACAUGCAGUUUUGUAAAGUACUUAAAAGGGAGCUGGGAACAAAGUGAGGCCUCAUCCUCCAUUUUUAAUGUUUUUUGAAACACCUGCCAUUCAGUUAGCUCCUAAACCCCCAAAAUAAAGCAUCCCUUCAAAGCAUUUUCAUGGGCCCUAAGGCCAGGCAAUUGCUGAUCUGGAUGAGUCGAGAGCAUCUACUACAGAGGAAACAACAGCAGGAAGUGGGGAAUUCAUCUCAGAUUUCCUCUAACUUUACUGGUUGACUGUUAAUAGGGAAACCCCACCUACAUAUCUUAUAGGGUCAGAACCAUAACUGGAGGCUAUAGGGCAUACAGCUUCGCAAUCAUUCCAUUACAGUAAGAAUGUAUGUUUCCAGCUAAGUUCACAAACAAUGCUGAAUAGCUACUCAGAAGAAGAUUAACAGGACCUCCCACUUCAUGGAAACAGUGACUGUUUACAUAAUAUGUAAUGACAGUAAAUCAUAACAAAUCCUAGGAGAAAACUCCAGUGAGAGACAAAAUAACAAGACCAUCUGAUUUUAUUUCUUUUCCCAGUCUAACAAUCCACGUCCCUGUCCUGUAAGGAUUUCUUUAUAUACUUAGCUUUCAGCACAUCUGUAACGCCACAGACUUCAAUUAGUCUAAUUAAGUGCAAAAAGAAAAAGUGUGCACAUAAGGGCGUGACCUUUUUUCCCCCCUUUGUUUAUUCAGUGAUUAAUGGGGUAAAAUCCCUCUUGAUAGCUUGACUUCCCUUUCGCUUUGACACAAAUAACGCUAUACUUUCCACUUUGCAAGGUUAAGCAAUUAGCAUUCUAAAAACAGGGCUGAUAUAAAGUAGCACCACUAUUGAUCUCCAUUACUAUGCUGAGCUAGACCAGCUGAGGAUCUGACCCUGCCUAAAAUGGUAAUUUGUAGCGUGCAAAGGAGCUAAAACAUAUUUUUGCCAGAUAAAGAUGUGCAAAGGGACAACCAGCUCCUGAAACUCACCUGCCAUUUGAAAUUAGCUGCUAAAUAAUGCCCUGCUUCAGAAAUCCUCAUACAAUAAUUUGCUAUAUUAUAAUUCAACAUAGUUUUCUCAAGACCGACAGAUUGCACUUCUCCCCAGGGAACUCCUGCACUCUCUUUCUGUUUCUGAGUGUGCAAUGGGCAGACCCAUAGUUACACAACCAGAACUCAUUUCCUUAAACUGAACAAUUCUGGUGUAGAUUUUCUGAAAGGACACUCCCGUGAAAAAAUUAUCAAUUCCCUACUAAAGCAAAUGAGGGAAAAAGGAAAGGGGAAAAAACAGGAAAGGGAAAAAAGAUACAGAUGAUAAAAAAGAAAGAAAGAAAGAAAAAAGACAGUCUGUUCCUGAAGCUGUGCAGUAAAAGAAUGCCUGCAUCUACAGGACGAUGUGCCACUUUUAAGGGAAGGGAUUGCCUGUAGCCGAUGCGCGGUGCUAAAUGUCAGCCUGACAGUGGCUGCAGGAAUGCAAAUUCUUCACAUCAGUGCAAGAAGGAAGCAGCACGCAUCCUGGGAGUCGUCUGCAGCCUUCUAUUAGCCCCUCACAACGUGGUUAGAGCGUCCAACAUACUGCUUGGAGAGCGCUCCUGCAGUAUCUCCCCACUUUGGGUUGGAAGUGGGUUCUGGUUGCCUUUUUUCAUAUUACUAGCGAUUUAAGCAUCAAACAAGGAAACAAAAUUCAAAACAAAAUUCUCUCACGUGAACUCACUACAUACACUUCAGCGCUUGCCCAGCUCCCACUCAUACAGCAGCUAAAAGAUCUGGAGGAAAAGAACAGACCUUAAUGACCACGCGUCCCUGCGCUCUGGAGUGUGGGCUACAGCAACUAAUAACAGAUGAAGGUUUACAUGUUUUUCUUGUGUUUCUGCUGGGGUUGCUGUGUCAUUAAUUCAGCCUGUGCUUGACUACUUAUGUUAAACAUUCCCUUUGUGACUUUCUCUAAAUCUUAAAUUUUGCAUGUGACCACAUGUAAAUGUAAAUGUGUAUUUUUAUGGUCCUGUAAUCUCAGUGCUUUUAAAUCCCCGUUGCCUGAAGGCACACAGGGAGCUGAAGCAGAAAAGCUUGGUCAGUUUGUGAUCAUUUAAGCUAGUUUAUUUGCUCUUUCUGAGUAUAUUCAGCUCCUGUAGAGGUUUUUGCCUUUUGUGUAAUAGAGUACAGAUAAGAUCUAGGAACCUAAUUAACCCUGCAGGGCCUGUGAACAAGGCUCAUUAGAAAACAGUCAAACACAUUUAUAUUUGAAUACCUUAUUUACAGGAAUUCAUAUCAUAUUUCUGAACCGCAGAUAUACAUGCCACAUAAUCAUACCUUAACCACUGUAAAACAUUUCCUUAAAUUAAGCUGAAAAGUGCACCAAAUUUGAGCUCAAAGUCAUCUGGAUUAUACAUGUAAAUACCUCGUGCCUUAAUAAAUAAAUAAAUAAAAUAACUCUAAUAAAUGAAAGUUCUGUCUGCAGGACAUUCUAAGCUAUAAUGUCUCUUCACCCACAUCCCCUCCAAAAAAUCCACAUUUCACAAAAUCAGUACUCAUUGCAGCCUGAGCAGAAAACACCACUGUGAAACAAUUUCUCUGGGGAUUUCCCCCUCUGCCCAGGGCAGUGACA
ensembl:lncRNA